GAUGAACGCUGGCGGCGUGCCUAAUACAUGCAAGUAGAACGCUGAAGGAGGAGCUUGCUCUUCUGGAUGAGUUGCGAACGGGUGAGUAACGCGUAGGUAACCUGCCUGGUAGCGGGGGAUAACUAUUGGAAACGAUAGCUAAUACCGCAUGACAACAGUUAUUGCAUGAUAACUGUUUAAAAGGGGCAACUGCUCCACUACCAGAUGGACCUGCGUUGUAUUAGCUAGUUGGUGAGGUAACGGCUCACCAAGGCGACGAUACAUAGCCGACCUGAGAGGGUGAUCGGCCACACUGGGACUGAGACACGGCCCAGACUCCUACGGGAGGCAGCAGUAGGGAAUCUUCGGCAAUGGACGGAAGUCUGACCGAGCAACGCCGCGGGAGUGAAGAAGGUUUUCGGAUCGUAAAGCUCUGUUGCAAGAGAAGAACGAGUGUGAGAGUGGAAAGUUCACACUGUGACGGUAUCUUACCAGAAAGGGACGGCUAACUACGUG
rnacentral:rRNA from 1 species